GGUGGGUUGGCUCAGCUGGAAGAGCGCUGGUGGUUGCCAGAGGCCCGGGUUCGAGUCCCGGACCCGCCA
rnacentral:tRNA from 1 species